rnacentral:rRNA from 1 species
CCUACGGGCGGCUGCAGUGGGGAAUAUUGGGCAAUGGGCGCAAGCCUGACCCAGCAACGCCGCGUGAAGGAAGAAGGCUUUCGGGUUGUAAACUUCUUUUCUCAGGGACGAAGCAAGUGACGGUACCUGAGGAAUAAGCCACGGCUAACUACGUGCCAGCAGCCGCGGUAAUACGUAGGUGGCAAGCGUUAUCCGGAUUUACUGGGUGUAAAGGGCGAGUAGGCGGGAAAGCAAGUCAGAUGUGAAAACCAUGGGCUCAACCUGUGGCCUGCAUUUGAAACUGUUUUUCUUGAGUACUGGAGAGGCAGACGGAAUUCCUAGUGUAGCGGUGAAAUGCGUAGAUAUUAGGAGGAACACCAGUUGCGAAGGCGGCUCUCUGGACUGUAACUGACACUGAGGCACGAAAGCGUGGGGAGCAAACAGGAUUAGAUACCCUAGUAGUC